AGGUCGUUCGGCUGUCUGGUCUAAUUAGCAUAUUACGCUUUUAUUAUUAUGGAUGUGCAUUGAGUACCAGCAGUGGGCAACCUUUGGGCAGACUCAACCUCGACCCUGGUGCAGCACCCAGCUUGAUUGAUGGAAAUGCAAUUUAUCAUUUGGCUUCCCUGGUGCUGUUUAUUAUUUUAAAAAAAAAGUUAUACUAGAUUCACUGAUGUCAUUCUUAAACUUUUGAUAUUAUGUGAGAGCAUUGGAGACUGGAGAAAGUUUGCCUACAUGCUAUAUAUUUUUGAGUUGUGUGCAGUACUUUGCAGAAAAUUCUAAAGUUGUUAUAUCAUGUCUUCUUGAUUAACAGUUAUGCUACGUAGAGAAAUAUUUCGUGCAGUCAUAAUAGUGCAAAAAAAAAAAGCGAGUCACUUGGGAAAUAGUCUCUUCAGGAGGCUACGCUGGGUACCUGAGGAUGAAGGGAGGCCCUCAGUGAGUAAGUUUCAGAAGAAAUGGGUGCAUGAGCCUCUACCCAAGGCCCCCCGGAUCUGCUGCGUUUGGCAGAGGACACGCCGUGGGGAAAGACGGCAGCUCGCUCUAAAGGCAAACACGCACCUGGUGCUAACAGCGCAGGCCGCAGGCUUCACAGCGCCCCAACAGCAACAGAGCAUGUACUGAAGCGUCACCCGCAGACGGGCCGCGUGCCCCAGAGCCCACGGAGGGAGCAGGCGGCAGCCGGGGCAGGCGUCCCUGCUCAUCAGCGCUGGUCCGCAGCAAGCUCUCCCCGCCCAGGCCUUUAGGAAGUCCUGUUCGUAGUUCCCAUGAGAGAGAUCACGGCCUUCUUCGUGGGCUUGCUGGAGUGUGACCAGCUCCCCGCUGGCUACGCGACCUUGGGCAAGUCACCUCCCUGUGGGCUCAGUGGCUCCGAAUCCGUGUCAUUGGGCGAUGCUAUGGACCGGAAGGGCCACUUUCCUCAGCGGCCUCCCUACACAGGUGCUAGAUAUACAUCAGGAAACAAAAGGGCUCCAGCCAGCCUUGCUCCCGCACGUCAGCUGCACGGACCAAGAAACCCAGAUAGAACAUCAGCAGUUCUCCGGGGCUCCCGUCUCAAACCAGAGCAAGAUGGUAAGAAAGUGCUGACCGAGAAAGGCCCACAGGCGGCCAAGGUCGGACGCCACACAGCCCAGGACACGGCGCCCCACCCCCCCAUCACGCCAAGCAUGGAGGCUGGGCCGAUAGGCAGGGCGGAGGCUGUGGGGACAGAGACCCCAGCCCAGAGGGUCCAGGAACUGCUCGAGGGGGACACCAGCGCCCACUGGGAGCAACAGAAGUGAGGAGGACGAGGCUGCAGAUCCUGGGUGCAGGGGGAGGAGGCCUGAAUUGAAUUAAGACACCGAGGCUGAGCCGAGGUGAAAGCCACGGCCAAGGUCACCGAGCUGAGAAGAGAUCCAAAGCUUGGCUCCAAACUCAGAUCUUCUGACUCGAAUCCAGCGCGGCCGGCCGAGGCAGGAAACCGGCAGGAUGGCCCCUCCGGGCCGGCUGCUAUGCGCUGGCCCGUCCUCAGAUAAGGAGCUCCCGGGAGAGGAAGGAUCUGGGACAAAGAAGAUCUGAGCGGAGCGGGAGGACAGGAAAUUCUGACGGCUGGGAUUUUCCCUGCCACCGGGAACCCAGCAGAGGGGCAAGAGGGGCCAGGGUUCCCGGAGACGCCCAGUCACGGUGCCAGGCUCCCCAGCGGGCCCCGGGUGGCCGGGAGCCGUCGGAGGUCUGUGCACGGGACAGUCCCAAGCCUUAAAAACAGGACACACACACUUCCUCUUGUUCCUCUGGGUGGAGCAUAAUGAAAUCUGGGAGCAGAAGAGGGGCCCCCCCGCCAGCGCCACGGCCCUGUCCACCGGCUUCCUUGCCGUCCCCUGAAGGGAUGCUCCCAGGAACCAAGUGAGGCGGCCUAGAAGAAAACAGACAGAUCCCUGCAAGCACGCCGUGGAUACUGGUGAAUAACCGCUGUGGCUCCCAGACGCUGGGGGCUGACUCUGUGCGGCCACGGGAAUGUCCUGCCUGAGCCUCGUGAGAGCCCUUGCAAGGCGGGUACUGUCACUUUCUCACUCUGCAGGUGAAGAGGCAGGCUGGGAGAGGUUAUACGGCUUUUCCAGGACCCUACAGCUAGUAGGUUGCACAUCCAGAAAUUUCUAUAUAUAUUUU